CCUUUGUGCAAUUUUUUUCCCCCAAAUAUUUUUGAUCUGAGGUUAGUUGAAUUUACAGAUGCAGAACCCACAGAUAUGGAGGGUUGUCUGUACUUUAUGCAGUUGUUAUAAGGAUUAAAUUAGAUUAACCCUAAUAUUAAUUUAAUAAAUUAACUUCAAUAGAACAGCUAGAAUAGUAAGCACUAUGUAAGUGUCUGUUAAAUGAACACAUGAUUGUCACCUAUGGUUAAAACAUUACCAGAAAUUGAGACCCAGAAUUUGACAAGUUAGAGCAUCUUCAUGGACAAAAGGGACAGAAUAGUGGAAGCCAGGACUGUUGAGGUCAAUUAGGAUGCAUGGUAUAACCGCAGGUGAGACAUCAAUAAGGGAACCUAGCGACAGGUGGGUCAGAGUUGAGGCUUUAAGGUCAGGCUGCCAAAUUCAGCCACUAGCUUCCUACUUAU
rnacentral:lncRNA from 1 species